AUUGAACGCUGGCGGCAUGCCUUACACAUGCAAGUCGAACGGCAGCACGGGUGCUUGCACCUGGUGGCGAGUGGCGAACGGGUGAGUAAUACAUCGGAACAUGUCCUGUAGUGGGGGAUAGCCCGGCGAAAGCCGGAUUAAUACCGCAUACGAUCUACGGAUGAAAGCGGGGGACCUUCGGGCCUCGCGCUAUAGGGUUGGCCGAUGGCUGAUUAGCUAGUUGGUGGGGUAAAGGCCUACCAAGGCGACGAUCAGUAGCUGGUCUGAGAGGACGACCAGCCACACUGGGACUGAGACACGGCCCAGACUCCUACGGGAGGCAGCAGUGGGAAUUUUGGACAAUGGGCGAAAGCCUGAUCCAGCAAUGCCGCGUGUGUGAAGAAGGCCUUCGGGUUGUAAAGCACUUUUGUCCGGAAAGAAAUCCUUGGCCCUAAUACGGUCGGGGGAUGACGGUACCGGAAGAAUAAGCACCGGCUAACUACGUG
rnacentral:rRNA from 1 species